rnacentral:rRNA from 1 species
UUAUUGGAGAGUUUGAUCCUGGCUCAGGACGAAGGCUGGCGGCGUGCUCAAUACAUGCAAGUCGAGCGACCUUGUGUUUCUGGAGACGCCAGGGUUAGGCGCGAUGGUGAGUAAUAAUGGUAACCUGCCUGAAGACCGGGAUAACUUGCGGAAACGUGAGCUAUCACCGGAUAGCGUCGCGCGAAGAAGUCAUGAAAGACGGGGCAACCUGUCACUUACAGAUGGCCUGCGGCGCAUUAGCUAGUUGGUAGGGUAACGGCUUACCAAGGCGACGAUGCGUAGCCGACCUGAGAGGGUGAACGGCCACACUGGGACUGAGACACACGGCCCAGACCUCACGGGAGGCAGCAGUAGGGACCUUCCGCAAUGACGAAAGUCUGACGGAGCAACGCCGCGUGAGUGGGAUGAAGGUUUUCGGAUCGUAAAGCUCUGUUGCCAAGGAAGAACGGCCAGGGGAGCGUGGAACCGCCCCUGGAGUGACGGUACUUGAGAAGAAAGCCCCGCUAACUACGUGCCAGCAGCCGCGGUAAUACGUAGGGGGCAAGGUUGUCCGGAAUUGCUGGGCGUGCGCGGGCAGCAGGCGGUCUUUUAAGUCUGGUGUUUAAGCUCGGGGCUCAACCCCGGUUCGCACUGGAAACUGGGAGACUUGAGUGUAGGAGAGGAGCGGAAUCGCACGCGUAGCGGCAGUGCCGCGCAGAUGUGGAGGAACACAUAGUGGCGAAGGCGGCUUUCGGCCUAUAAACGACGUGCUGAGGCGCGAAAGCGUGGGGAGCAAACAGAUUAGAUUCCGUAGUCCACGCUGAAAACGAUGAAUGCUAGGUGUUAGGGGUUUCGAUACCUUGGUGCCGAAGUUAACACAGUAAGCAUUCCGCCUGGGGAGCAUGGUCGCAAGACUGAACUCAAAGGAAUUGACGGGGACCCGCACAAGCAGUGGAGUAUGUGGUUUAAUUCGAAGCAACGCGAAGAACCUUACCAGGCCUUGACAUCCCUCUGACCUGGUUUAGAGACAGACCUUUUCCUCGGGGACAGAGGAGACAGGCGGUGCAUGGUUGUCGUCAGCUCGUGUCGUGAGAUGUUGGGUUAAGUCCCGCAACGAGCGCAACCCUUGAUCUUAGUUGCCAGCACGCAGAGGUGGGCACUCUAAGAUGACUGCUGCGACAAACCGAGGAAGGUGGGGAUGACGUCAAAUCAUCAUGCCCUUGCGGCCUGGGCUACACACGUACUACAAUGACUGGUACAACGGGAAGCGAAGGAGCGAUCCGGAGCCAAUCCUCAAAAGCCGAUCCCCACAGUUCGGAUUGCAGGCUGCAACUCGCCUGCAUGAAGUCGGAACUGGUUAGUAAUCGCGGGGAUCAGCAUGCCGCGGUGAAUACGUUCCCGGGGUCUUGUACACACCCCGGCCCGUCACACCACGAGAGUUUACAACACCCGAAGUCGGUGAGGUAACCGUAAGUGGGGCCAGGCCGCCGAAGGUGGGGUAGAUGAUUGGGGUGAAGUCGUAACAAGGUAGCCGGUCGAAGGUGCGGCUGGAUCACCUCCUUU